UAACCUGGUUGAUCCUGCCAGUUAGUCAUAUGCUUGUCCCAAAGAUUAAGCCAUGCAUGUCUAAGUAUAAACAAGUCUAUACUGUGAAACUGCGAGUGGCUCAUUAUAUCAGUUAUAAUUUAUUUGAUAGUCUCUUUACUACUUGGAUAACCGUGGUAAUUCUAGAGCUAAUACAUGCAUAAAGCCCGACUUC
rnacentral:rRNA from 1 species